rnacentral:rRNA from 1 species
UACGUAGGGUGCGAGCGUUGUCCGGAAUUAUUGGGCGUAAAGGGCUCGUAGGCGGUUUGUCGCGUCGGGAGUGAAAACUCAGGGCUUAACCCUGAGCCUGCUUCCGAUACGGGCAGACUAGAGGUAUGCAGGGGAGAACGGAAUUCCUGGUGUAGCGGUGAAAUGCGCAGAUAUCAGGAGGAACACCAGUGGCGAAGGCGGCACUCUGGGCCGGUACUGACGCUGAGGAGCGAAAGUGUGGGGAGCGAACAGG